AAUGGCAUAAGCUAGCUUGACUGCGAGCGUGACGGCGCGAGCAGGUGCGAAAGCAGGUCAUAGUGAUCCGGUGGUUCUGAAUGGAAGGGCCAUCGCUCAACGGAUAAAAGGUACUCCGGGGAUAACAGGCUGAUACCGCCCAAGAGUUCAUAUCGACGGCGGUGUUUGGCACCUCGAUGUCGGCUCAUCACAUCCUGGGGCUGAAGUAGGUCCCAAGGGUAUGGCUGUUCGCCAUUUAAAGUGGUACGCGAGCUGGGUUUAGAACGUCGUGAGACAGUUCGGUCCCUAUCUGCCGUGGGCGCUGGAGAAUUGAGGGGGG
rnacentral:rRNA from 1 species